AGGCCUGACAUUUAGUAUAUUUACUAAAUAGAUAUAAAAUAUAUUUACUAACUAUAAGUAUAUAUUUACUAAACAUAUACAUUUAUAUUUAUAUGUACUAUAUAAAUACCCAAUAGUAGAAUUGCUAGACAAAAUGUAUGUACAUUAAAAUUUUGAUAUACAAUUCCAACAGAUCACUCUCACUAGCCAAUAUGAGACACAGUCAGUUUCCCUA
rnacentral:lncRNA from 1 species